CCAUCCCGGAAUAUUCCGAAAUAAGUCUUUAAAGUGCCUGAUUUUCGCUAUCUGCGAAGCCACCGUCCAUUUUCCUGUGACGUCAUCCAGUGAUAUACAUGCUAUCCAGGCGGAUAGCACAGCAAGAUAUAGCAACAUUAUCUCGGAUUCAGACUCCGAUUUCAGCGGCUUAAGCGAUUCAACAGUUUACGCAUGUAUUGAAACGGAUGGUUGGAGUAUGGAGGCAGAUAGCGAAAACGAAAUUGAAGAAGAAACUGAAGCUAUUGAGCGAAUAGCUAUUGACGCUAUUCGGCCAUGUUUGCCUUAGCAUCACCGGUAAAAUGUGCAGACCGAACGAUUGGGACUUUCGCAUUGAGACUGGAGCAACUUAAAUCCGUCGAUUGGUAAGUGUUUGUUUGGCAUUAAAUUUGGGAAAUGCUGGAUGCAAAUACAGCUACAAAUGUACAUACAGCUAGCCUAAAUAGCAUGUUAGCAUCGAUUAGCUGGCAGUUAUGCCGCGACCAAAUAUGUCUGAUUAGCACAUAUGUAAAUAACAUCAACAAAACUCACCUUUGUGAUUUCGUUGACUUUAUCGUUUGAAAUGCGCCUGCUUUGAGUGUCGCAGGGUAUCCAUUCAUCUCUGUGCCAUAUCUGUUGUAGCAUCGCCGGUAAAAUGUGCGGACCAAACGAGGGACUUUCGCAUCUUUUGACACUGGAGCAACUUAAAUCCGUCGAUUGGAAUGCUUGUCGAGAUGGGGUUGCCUUGUUGUUGAUCAUCUCCCAACACUUGCCAGUUGAGGCUGUGAUUUGAAGUGCAGUGGAAGGAGCUCUUUGGGUGUUGAAUUAUUUCUGAAGGAAAACGUUGGUCAGAUGGCCUGAAAGCCAAAGCGGGAUGGAAACGUCACAUGGAGUGUCCUCGCGUUUAGCUCAAUAAUCUGACAGCAUCCGUACAAAAAGACCUGGCGUGGUGCUCGAUUGACCACCAAAUUAGGAAAUUGCUGUAAUUAUAAUUGCUGGAGGUGGGCGUGGCCUGCAGACCCGCAGCGAAGCGGGGUGUGCUAGGACCGGCUUCACGAUCAGCGACAGGUGCGUAGAUCACCCACCUGGGCCUGGUUAUCUAAUCACCUGUCGCUCUGUUAAAAGGCAGCAGAUGCGGAGGAGAGAGGUAGUAGAGCUGGAGCAAGAGCAAGAGAGAGAGAGAGAGAGAGAGACGCAAACAAAAACUUGCUGAAAAGCACAACCAAAAUAAUUUUUGGAAAAAUAAACAGCAUUGUAAACCGGAAACCUGAACUGUCAUGUCAGUGUUUGGUGGUCAGAGGAACCUGGAGGAUAGAAACCUCCACAAUAAUCCUUUCAAAUAUCACUACAAAUUACUGUAAAUUCAAAUGAUUUGUCUCUUAAAGGGGUCAUUGUUAUGAUUCCUCUUUUGUUUAACACCAGUGAUUCUCAAACUGUGGUGUGGGUACCACAACAGUAGUUAUGCUGAUGACACCCAACUCUACAUGCCCCUAAAGCUGACCAACACGCCGGAUUGUAGUCAGCUGGAGGCGUGUCUUAAUGAAAUUAAACAAUGGAUGUCCGCUAACUUUUUGCAACUCAACGCCAAAAAAACGGAAAUGCUGAUUAUCGGUCCUGCUAGACACCGAACUCUAUUUAAUAAUACAACUCUAACAUUUGACAACCAAACAAUUAAACAAGGCGACACGGUAAAGAAUCUGGGUAUUAUCUUCGACCCAACUCUCUCCUUUGAGGCACACAUUAAAAGCGUUACUAAAACGGCCUUCUUUCAUCUCCGUAAUAUCGCUAAAAUUCGCUCCAUUCUGUCCACUAAAGACGCUGAGAUCAUUAUCCAUGCGUUUGUUACGUCUCGCCUCGACUACUGUAACGUAUUAUUUUCGGGUCUCCUCAU